rnacentral:misc_RNA from 1 species
AACGCACAUUGCGCCCUUUGGUAUUCCGAAGGGCAUGCCUGUUCGAGCGUCAUUAUCACCUCUCAAGCCUGGCUUGUUGUUGGAUCUAGGUCUGGGUUUACCCCCGACCGGUCCCAAAAGUAAUGACGGCGUCCGUGGGACUCUCGGUGCAACGAGCUUUAACCAGCACGCAACGAGUCGAAAGGUCCUCCGGCACGGUCUAUAACCAAACUUUUACAGGUUGACCUCGGAUCAGGUAGGAAUACCCGCUGAAUUUAA